UACGAAGGGGGCUAGCGUUGUUCGGAAUUACUGGGCGUAAAGCGCACGUAGGCGGAUACUUAAGUCAGGGGUGAAAUCCCGGGGCUCAACCCCGGAACUGCCUUUGAUACUGGGUAUCUCGAGUCCGGAAGAGGUGAGUGGAAUUCCGAGUGUAGAGGUGAAAUUCGUAGAUAUUCGGAAGAACACCAGUGGCGAAGGCGGCUCACUGGCCCGAUACUGACGCUGAGGCACGAAAGCGUGGGGAGCAAACAGG
rnacentral:rRNA from 1 species